AGGAUUUUUCUACGAUUUAUGGCUUACAGAUCUUGUUUUCUGUACAGUCAGAUUCAAAGAAAUUCCUAAAAUUGUAGGUUUAAUAUUUUUGGGUGAUUCCAAUUGGGUUAGUCUUGUAUUAGUACUGGCUAUAUAGGAAAAAUAUUAUUAGUCUCUGUUAAUACAUAUUUGUUGCUGUUAGUAAUGUUUAUGUGUGACAUGCAUUGUUGAAGCAAAACUUUUCGGUUUAUUUAAAACCCUUGACCAACUCUUUUUAGUAGAGAUGGGCAACCUUUGUUUUAUGCUUGCAAAACAAAACCUCUGCAAUUUAACUUUAGCUCUUUUGUUUUGCUUAAGUCUUCAAAUGGUGGGGCAUAUCAUUUGCUCCUAUUCUUGUGUAGUGUUAUGUAAGCUUCUUAAAAUAGGGAGAAUGAUUGCCCGCUUUUCCAAAAAUGUUUCAAAUUAUAAUGUGAAUGUUUUUGUUGCCAAACUAAUGCACUUGUCAUCUUUAUGAUGUUAUCUACCAGGGGAUAUUUGGUUUAUACCAUGGUGAUAACCGAGAGAGGCAAUUGCUAAGUUGUGAUGCACUCAUACCUUUACUAGAUGCGAACAAUUCCGGAGAAGAAGAAGUGGAAUCGGAUGAGAAGAUUAUUUAUAUUGUUGGAAUUCUUAUAUUGAUGGAGUUGAAGAAGUACAGGGACAAAUAAGCCAAGGCAAGCCAUCUUUUGACCUCUGAUUCGGUGUCUAGUUGGAUGUCAUUUGUUGAUGUCCAAAGCACCUUGGUUCUAUGUGUGUUGUUCUCCUUAUUAUUGUCAUAUAUGUAUGGUUGCUAGUGGAGUACUCCCUAGUGGUGAUACUCCACUAUUGUCUUUGUGAUUAUGGGAUGCAUGGUAUCAUGGCCGUGCUAUUACUCUUGGUUAUCUUGUAUGCUCGACUUGAGCAUGUUCCAUCUCAAGAUAAUGACUUACACUACACCCACCACUUUUGUAGUAUAGAGGUAUCAAUGUCAUGAUCUUGGUGUAUUCUCAACUUGAGAGGAGUAUGCCGUGUACCCAUUGGAGAGUAUGUUGGAUAGUGAUAAUCCACUAUCUAAGUUGUAUAUUUAGCACCACAAAUCUGAAAGUAUAAUCCUCCUUGUGUGGUCAUAGUACAUGCUUACCUUAAGCAA